CGGAGCUGCCCGAGGGGACGCUGUCCAGUCCCCAGCCAGCACCAUGGGCCCCAGGCGGGGAGGCGCUGAGGCAGGCGGGGCGCCAUGUGGCGCCUCCGCGCCCGCCGCCUGGGGCCCCGCCGGGGCCGGGCUCUGCCUGCGGGGGGCCGAGCUGCUGGGGUCAUAGGCUCAUUCCUGUGUGGCCGGAAGGGGCCUGGGGCUCGAACCUGAGUCCCAGUUCACGUGCUGUGUAGGCGGGUACGUAGCAGCAGGGAACAGCCGGGGCCUGCGAGCGCUCUGCCUCCCCCCAACACUCUCCCGCAUGGAGCAUCCCCCAGAUCCGGGGGAUUGUUCUACUAAUAAGAUCUGCCAGGCAAGCUUGGAAUCUGGAAGUUCACAUUACUUAACUAUUGUUCAGGAAGGGGCAUCACUUCCCAUCAAAGUCUAAACUGAUUGUAGAAGAGAGAUUGGCAACUUAGCAGUGAAUUGCAAGAAGCUGUAACUUGCCGAUGUUAGGUCAUUAAAUUAUUGCUCUUGUCUUGUGAAAGGUGAACUAAGACUUUUCUGACUGCACUUGUUGACACGUGGGUAAUUGUGAAGAGUUUCUAUGUUCCAUCUGAAUUUCUUCUUUCACCUUUAACGAAGAUACUUGAAAAUUGUUUAAUUUGUUUCCUCUUUUUCAUUGAGGAGGUUAAAGUAAUCUAGUUGCUGAUGUAAUGCUUUUUAUAGUGGAAAAAGUAGUGGUGAAGGCAAGAAAUCAGUCUCAAAGCAUUUGUUUCAGCUGCAACCUGUAAAUCUUGGGAGAUUGCUUUUGGAGGCUAUUGUAAAAUCCUGUUCAUUUGUAUUGGUAAUAAACAUGAUAUGCUGCCCUUGAUUUAAA